AACGAACGCUGGCGGCAUGCCUAACACAUGCAAGUCGAACGAGACCUUCGGGUCUAGUGGCGCACGGGUGCGUAACGCGUGGGAACCUGCCCUUAGGUUCGGAAUAACUCCCCGAAAGGGGUCUUAAAACCGGUUAAUUUUUCCGAACCAAAGAUUUAUCGCCUUUGGAUGGGCCCGCGUUGGAUUAGCUAGUUGGUAGGGUAAAAGCCUACCAAGGCGACGAUCCAUAGCUGGUCUGAGAGGAUGAUCAGCCACACUGGGACUGAGACACGGCCCAGACUCCUACGGGAGGCAGCAGUGGGGAAUAUUGGACAAUGGGCGAAAGCCUGAUCCAGCAAUGCCGCGUGAGUGAUGAAGGCCUUAGGGUUGUAAAGCUCUUUUACCCGGGAUGAUAAUGACAGUACCGGGAGAAUAAGCUCCGGCUAACUCCGUG
rnacentral:rRNA from 1 species